AGUGAACGCUGGCGGUAGGCCUAACACAUGCAAGUCGAACGGCAGCACAGUCAGAGCUUGCUUUUACGGGUGGCGAGUGGCGGACGGGUGAGGAAUACAUCGGAAUCUACUUUUUCGUGGGGGAUAACGUAGGGCAACUUACGCUAAUACCGCAUACGACCUACGGGUGAAAGCAGGGGAUCUUCGGACCUUGCGCGAUUGAAUGAGCCGAUGUCGGAUUAGCUAGUUGGCGGGGUAAAGGCCCACCAAGGCGACGAUCCGUAGCUGGUCUGAGAGGAUGAUCAGCCACCCUGGAAUCGAGACACGGUCCAGACUCCGAGGAGAGGCAGCAGACGGGAAUAUGGGACAAGGAGCGCAAGCCUGUCACAGGCAUACCGCGUGGACGAAGAAAGUGUUCGGGUUGUAAGGCACUUGUGUUUGGAGAGAAAAGCAGAAGGUGAAAGCGUGGAUGUUCGGACGGUACCCAAAGAAUAGUCAACGGCUAACUACGUG
rnacentral:rRNA from 1 species